UACAGAGGGGGCAAGCGUUGUUCGGAAUUACUGGGCGUAAAGGGCGCGUAGGCGGCCUUCUAAAUCGAACGUGAAAUCCCCGGGCUCAACCCGGGAACUGCGUCCGAUACUGGAAGGCUUGAAUCCGGGAGAGGGAUGCGGAAUUCCAGGUGUAGCGGUGAAAUGCGUAGAUAUCUGGAGGAACACCGGUGGCGAAGGCGGCAUCCUGGACCGGCAUUGACGCUGAGGCGCGAAAGCCAGGGGAGCAAACGGG
rnacentral:rRNA from 1 species